rnacentral:rRNA from 1 species
GAUGAACGCUGGCGGCGUGCCUAAUACAUGCAAGUCGAGCGAACAGACGAGGAGCUUGCUCCUCUGACGUUAGCGGCGGACGGGUGAGUAACACGUGGAUAACCUACCUAUAAGACUGGGAUAACUUCGGGAAACCGGAGCUAAUACCGGAUAAUAUAUUGAACCGCAUGGUUCAAUAGUGAAAGACGGUUUUGCUGUCACUUAUAGAUGGAUCCGCGCCGCAUUAGCUAGUUGGUAAGGUAACGGCUUACCAAGGCAACGAUGCGUAGCCGACCUGAGAGGGGGAUCGGCCACACUGGAACUGAGCCACGGUCCCGACUCCUACGGGAGGCAGCAGUAGGGAAUCUUACGCAAUGGGCGAAAGCCUGACGGAGCAACGCCGCGUGAGUGAUGAAGGUCUUCGGAUCGUAAAACUCUGUUAUUAGGGAAGAACAAAUGUGUAAGUAACUAUGCACGUCUUGACGGUACCUAAACAGAAAGCCACGGCUAACUACGUG